GAUGAACGCUGGCGGCGUGCUUAACACAUGCAAGUCGAGCGAGUGAGUUCUUCGGAACGAUCUAGCGGCGGACGGGUGAGUAACACGUGGGCAACCUGCCUCAUAGAGGGGAAUAGCCUCCCGAAAGGGAGAUUAAUACCGCAUAAAAUUAUCGAGUGGCAUCACAUGAUAAUCAAAGGAGUAAUCCGCUAUGAGAUGGGCCCGCGGCGCAUUAGCUAGUUGGUGAGGUAACGGCUCACCAAGGCGACGAUGCGUAGCCGACCUGAGAGGGUGAUCGGCCACAGUGGGACUGAGACACGGCCCAGACGCCUACGGGAGGCAGCAGUGGGGAAUAUUGCACAAUGGGGGAAACCCUGAUGCAGCAACGCCGCGUGAGUGAUGAAGGUCUUCGGAUUGUAAAGCUCUGUCUUUGGGGACGAUAAUGACGGUACCCAAGGAGGAAGCCACGGCUAACUAUGUGCCAGCCGCCGCCGUAA
rnacentral:rRNA from 1 species